rnacentral:misc_RNA from 1 species
UUAUGUAUUUCUAUACCGCCUUAUGUAUUCACAGACCAAAACAUUGAGUUCCCUACAUCAACAUAUGCACCAAACAGAUAAGAACAAAGCCCAUACGAUAAGUAAAUCAAUUCCGGGUGCCAAAAGACAACCAGCUAUACCCCCGCAACAAGAAGUAUCUACGAAACUGAGUCUAAAACAGAACAUGCAAGUCGAGAUAAAGGGAAGCGAUAAACCCAACAUAUGUAAUUCAACAAAACAUAGGUUCAUCCUCCUAAGACCUAGCGACCAUGCUAUAAGAACGAGACAACCUAAAACUCAGGCUACCUCCAUUCACGCUCAGCUCUGCCUCCUCAGCAUUGCCCUCAUAGUUCUU